GGGUUGUGAGGUUAAGCGACUAAGCGUACACGGUGGAUGCCCUGGCAGUCAGAGGCGAUGAAGGACGUGCUAAUCUGCGAUAAGCGUCGGUAAGGUGAUAUGAACCGUUAUAACCGGCGAUUUCCGAAUGGGGAAACCCAGUGUGUUUCGACACACUAUCAUUAACUGAAUCCAUAGGUUAAUGAGGCGAACCGGGGGAACUGAAACAUCUAAGUACCCCGAGGAAAAGAAAUCAACCGAGAUUCCCCCAGUAGCGGCGAGCGAACGGGGAGGAGCCCAGAGCCUGAAUCAGUGUGUGUGUUAGUGGAAGCGUCUGGAAAGGCGCGCGAUACAGGGUGACAGCCCCGUACACAAAAAUGCACAUGCUGUGAGCUCGAUGAGUAGGGCGGGACACGUGGUAUCCUGUCUGAAUAUGGGGGGACCAUCCUCCAAGGCUAAAUACUCCUGACUGACCGAUAGUGAACCAGUACCGUGAGGGAAAGGCGAAAAGAACCCCGGCGAGGGGAGUGAAAAAGAACCUGAAACCGUGUACGUACAAGCAGUGGGAGCACAGAGCAAUCUGUGUGACUGCGUACCUUUUGUAUAAUGGGUCAGCGACUUAUAUUCUGUAGCAAGGUUAACCGAAUAGGGGAGCCGAAGGGAAACCGAGUCUUAACUGGGCGUUAAGUUGCAGGGUAUAGACCCGAAACCCGGUGAUCUAGCCAUGGGCAGGUUGAAGGUUGGGUAACACUAACUGGAGGACCGAACCGACUAAUGUUGAAAAAUUAGCGGAUGACUUGUGGCUGGGGGUGAAAGGCCAAUCAAACCGGGAGAUAGCUGGUUCUCCCCGAAAGCUAUUUAGGUAGCGCCUCGUGAAUUCAUCUCCGGGGGUAGAGCACUGUUUCGGCAAGGGGGUCAUCCCGACUUACCAACCCGAUGCAAACUGCGAAUACCGGAGAAUGUUAUCACGGGAGACACACGGCGGGUGCUAACGUCCGUCGUGAAGAGGGAAACAACCCAGACCGCCAGCUAAGGUCCCAAAGUCAUGGUUAAGUGGGAAACGAUGUGGGAAGGCCCAGACAGCCAGGAUGUUGGCUUAGAAGCAGCCAUCAUUUAAAGAAAGCGUAAUAGCUCACUGGUCGAGUCGGCCUGCGCGGAAGAUGUAACGGGGCUAAACCAUGCACCGAAGCUGCGGCAGCGACACUGUGUGUUGUUGGGUAGGGGAGCGUUCUGUAAGCCUGUGAAGGUGUGCUGUGAGGCAUGCUGGAGGUAUCAGAAGUGCGAAUGCUGACAUAAGUAACGAUAAAGCGGGUGAAAAGCCCGCUCGCCGGAAGACCAAGGGUUCCUGUCCAACGUUAAUCGGGGCAGGGUGAGUCGACCCCUAAGGCGAGGCCGAAAGGCGUAGUCGAUGGGAAACAGGUUAAUAUUCCUGUACUUGGUGUUACUGCGAAGGGGGGACGGAGAAGGCUAUGUUGGCCGGGCGACGGUUGUCCCGGUUUAAGCGUGUAGGCUGGUUUUCCAGGCAAAUCCGGAAAAUCAAGGCUGAGGCGUGAUGACGAGGCACUACGGUGCUGAAGCAACAAAUGCCCUGCUUCCAGGAAAAGCCUCUAAGCAUCAGGUAACAUCAAAUCGUACCCCAAACCGACACAGGUGGUCAGGUAGAGAAUACCAAGGCGCUUGAGAGAACUCGGGUGAAGGAACUAGGCAAAAUGGUGCCGUAACUUCGGGAGAAGGCACGCUGAUAUGUAGGUGAAGUCCCUCGCGGAUGGAGCUGAAAUCAGUCGAAGAUACCAGCUGGCUGCAACUGUUUAUUAAAAACACAGCACUGUGCAAACACGAAAGUGGACGUAUACGGUGUGACGCCUGCCCGGUGCCGGAAGGUUAAUUGAUGGGGUCAGCGCAAGCGAAGCUCUUGAUCGAAGCCCCGGUAAACGGCGGCCGUAACUAUAACGGUCCUAAGGUAGCGAAAUUCCUUGUCGGGUAAGUUCCGACCUGCACGAAUGGCGUAAUGAUGGCCAGGCUGUCUCCACCCGAGACUCAGUGAAAUUGAACUCGCUGUGAAGAUGCAGUGUACCCGCGGCAAGACGGAAAGACCCCGUGAACCUUUACUAUAGCUUGACACUGAACAUUGAGCCUUGAUGUGUAGGAUAGGUGGGAGGCUUUGAAGUGUGGACGCCAGUCUGCAUGGAGCCGACCUUGAAAUACCACCCUUUAAUGUUUGAUGUUCUAACGUGGACCCGUGAUCCGGGUUGCGGACAGUGUCUGGUGGGUAGUUUGACUGGGGCGGUCUCCUCCUAAAGAGUAACGGAGGAGCACGAAGGUUGGCUAAUCCUGGUCGGACAUCAGGAGGUUAGUGCAAUGGCAUAAGCCAGCUUGACUGCGAGCGUGACGGCGCGAGCAGGUGCGAAAGCAGGUCAUAGUGAUCCGGUGGUUCUGAAUGGAAGGGCCAUCGCUCAACGGAUAAAAGGUACUCCGGGGAUAACAGGCUGAUACCGCCCAAGAGUUCAUAUCGACGGCGGUGUUUGGCACCUCGAUGUCGGCUCAUCACAUCCUGGGGCUGAAGUAGGUCCCAAGGGUAUGGCUGUUCGCCAUUUAAAGUGGUACGCGAGCUGGGUUUAGAACGUCGUGAGACAGUUCGGUCCCUAUCUGCCGUGGGCGCUGGAGAACUGAGGGGGGCUGCUCCUAGUACGAGAGGACCGGAGUGGACGCAUCACUGGUGUUCGGGUUGUCAUGCCAAUGGCACUGCCCGGUAGCUAAAUGCGGAAGAGAUAAGUGCUGAAAGCAUCUAAGCACGAAACUUGCCCCGAGAUGAGUUCUCCCUGACCCUUUAAGGGUCCUGAAGGAACGUUGAAGACGACGACGUUGAUAGGCCGGGUGUGUAAGCGCAGCGAUGCGUUGAGCUAACCGGUACUAAUGAACCGUGAGGCUUAACCUUACAACGCCGAAGCUGUU
rnacentral:rRNA from 1 species